GACGGAGGAGGCAAGCGUUAUCCGGAAUUAUUGGGCGUAAAGGGUACGAAGGCGGCUGGUCAAGUCGGGGGUCAAAGGCCACAGCUCAACUGUGGGAAGGCCCUGGAAACUGACCGGCUAGAGUGAGGUAGGGGUUGCGGGAAUUCCCGGUGUAGCGGUGAAAUGCGUAGAGAUCGGGAAGAACACCUGAGGCGGAAGCUCGCAACUGGGCCUCAACUGACGCUUCGUUGCGAAAGCGAGGGGAGCCAAUGGC
rnacentral:rRNA from 1 species